AUGACCGGGGGAGGCUUCUCUCUUUCUCUUCUUUCUCUCAAAAAAAAAAGGAUGACCGGGGGAGGCUCUCCACGGGCCUCCUAUAAAGCCGGCGCCACGCACAGCCGCAAACCCAUCCACCGCCAGCAACGCUCGCUCCUUCUCCCAUCUGCGCAUCCAUCUCCACCGCACCACCAAUCGAUCCACCCCCCUAGCGCCGCCGCCGUUUCUCCAGCCCCGACUGAACGCCGGCGUGGGGAGCCCAGCCUCCACAACCGGCGACGCGACCCUCCCCGCCGCGCGCCCCCCGCCCGCCUGCAACUUUUGCGGGGGUAG
rnacentral:rRNA from 1 species